GAUGAACGCUGGCGGCGUGCCUAAUACAUGCAAGUCGAGCGAACGGACGAGAAGCUUGCUUCUCUGAUGUUAGCGGCGGACGGGUGAGUAACACGUGGAUAACCUACCUAUAAGACUGGGAUAAAUUCGGGAAACCGGAGCUAAUACCGGAUAAUAUUUUGAACCGCAUGGUUCAAAAGUGAAAGACGGUCUUGCUGUCACUUAUAGAUGGAUCCGCGCUGCAUUAGCUAGUUGGUAAGGUAACGGCUUACCAAGGCAACGAUGCAUAGCCGACCUGAGAGGGUGAUCGGCCACACUGGAACUGAGACACGGUCCAGACUCCUACGGGAGGCAGCAGUAGGGAAUCUUCCGCAAUGGGCGAAAGCCUGACGGAGCAACGCCGCGUGAGUGAUGAAGGUCUUCGGAUCGUAAAACUCUGUUAUUAGGGAAGAACAUAUGUGUAAGUAACUAUGCACAUCUUGACGGUACCUAAUCAGAAAGCCACGGCUAACUACGUG
rnacentral:rRNA from 1 species